AUGUCUUCAUCCUGCCUCCGUGUUCAUGUCUUCAUCCUGCCUCUGUUGUUAUGUUAUCUUCCUGCUGCCCCUGCAUAUUUUUACCGGUUUUAUGGAGUGUUUUCAUGGAAGGCCAGGAGGAGCCUGGCUUGUUUGGCCCCGAUGCCGCGCGCAGGGAGCCCUCCACCCCCAUUCGGAGGUCACCCCAGGUUGCCAGGGUCACGCAGAGGUCACCGUCUCCUCCCUCUGGUGUUUGGCUGGAGGCAGCAGCAGCUCUCUCUCGGAGUGCGGUCGGUUGUUCCAGAGCAGGCCCAGAUGUUCCCAGAUGUUCCCUCCCUGGAAGCGGCCCUGGGUCACUCCAGAGAGAAGGAGGGGACUUCCUCUGCGCUACGAGUUCCUCUGGGCCUCCAGCGCAGGGAGAAGAAGGGUUCAGCCUCACAUGGAGAUCUCCCCGGGCGCCCUGUCACUGUUGGUUUAGUGACCAGGCAGAUGAUCAGACCAGUACAGUGGAGGUCAGACCAGUACAGUGGAGGUCAGACCAGUACAGUGGAGGUCAGACCAGUACAGUGGAGUUCAGACCAGUACAGUGGAGUUCAGACCCAGUACAGUGGAGGUCAGACCAGUACAGUGGAGUUCAGACCAGUACAGUGGAGUUCAGACCCAGUACAGUGGAGGUCAGACCCAGUACAGUGGAGGUCAGACCAGUACAGUGGAGGUCAGACCCAGUACAGUGGCGGGACGACCAGUACAGUGGAGGUCAGACCAGUACAGUGGAGGUCAGACCCAGUACAGUGGCGGGACGACCAGUACAGUGGAGGUCAGACCCAGUACAGUGGCGGGACGACCAGUACAGUGGAGUUCAGACCAGUACAGUGGAGUUCAGACCCAGUACAGUGGAGGUCAGACCCAGUACAGUGGCGGGACGACCAGUACAGUGGAGGUCAGACCCAGUACAGUGGAGGUCAGACCCAGUACAGUGGCGGGACGACCAGUACAGUGGAGGUCAGACCAGUACAGUGGAGUUCAGACCAGUACAGUGGAGUUCAGACCCAGUACAGUGGAGGUCAGACCAGUACAGUGGAGUUCAGACCAGUACAGUGGAGUUCAGACCAGUACAGUGGAGUUCAGACCCAGUACAGUGGAGGUCAGACCCAGUACAGUGGCGGGACGACCAGUACAGUGGAGGUCAGACCCAGGCCUGCAUCCUUCCCUCUAGAGGAGCUCUCUCCUGUACCCCAGACCUGUGGGGGCCCAGGGCCGACCCACUGGUUUGUAGGUAGUAGUAAUGCUGCUGCUGGUGCUGCUGGUGUGUGCGUGUAUGGAGGUGGGCGGGGAUGGGGUCACCAUGAGACAGACCCGUUAAACCAUUUUGUUGUGCAAAAAUGUUAA
rnacentral:lncRNA from 1 species